rnacentral:rRNA from 1 species
AUGAACGCUGGCGGCGUGCCUAAUACAUGCCGGUCGCGCGAACGGACGAGAAGCUUGCUUCUCUGAUGUUAGCGGCGGACGGGUGAGUAACACGUGGAUAACCUACCUAUAAGACUGGGAUAACUUCGGGAAACCGGAGCUAAUACCGGAUGAUAUUUUGAACCGCAUGGUUCAAAAGUGAAAGACGGUCUUGCUGUCACUUAUAGAUGGAUCCGCGCUGCAUUAGCUAGUUGGUAAGGUAACGGCUUACCAAGGCAACGAUGCAUAGCCGACCUGAGAGGGUGAUCGGCCACACUGGAACUGAGACACGGUCCAGACUCCUACGGGAGGCAGCAGUAGGGAAUCUUCCGCAAUGGGCGAAAGCCUGACGGAGCAACGCCGCGUGAGUGAUGAAGGUCUUCGGAUCGUAAAACUCUGUUAUUAGGGAAGAACAUAUGUGUAAGUAACUGUGCACAUCUUGACGGUACCUAAUCAGAAAGCCACGGCUAACUACGUG